rnacentral:rRNA from 1 species
UACGGAGGGUGCGAGCGUUGUCCGGAAUCAUUGGGCGUAAAGGGCGCGUAGGUGGCCCGGUCAGUUCGUGGUGAAAGCGCGGGGCUCAACCCUGGGAUGCGGGUGGAUACUGCCGGGCUCGAGUCCGGAAGAGGCGAGUGGAAUUCCCGGUGUAGCGGUGAAAUGCGCAGAUAUCGGGAGGAACACCAAUGGCGAAGGCAGCUCGCUGGGACGUGACUGACGCUGAGACGCGAAAGCGUGGGGAGCAAACAGG